rnacentral:rRNA from 1 species
UGGGGAAUUUUGCACAAUGGGCGCAAGCCUGAUGCAGCGACGCCGCGUGAGGGAUGAAGGCCUUCGGGUUGUAAACCUUUUUCGCUCAUGGUCAAGCCGCAGCUUUGGGUUGUGGUGAGGGUAGUGGGUAAAGAAGCGCCGGCUAACUACGUGCCAGCAGCCGCGGUAAUACGUAGGGCGCGAGCGUUGUCCGGAAUCACUGGGCGUAAAGGGUUCGCAGGCGGAAAUGCAAGUCAGGUGUAAAAGGCAGUAGCUUAACUACUGUAAGCAUUUGAAACUGCAUAUCUUGAGAAGAGUAGAGGUAAGUGGAAUUUUUAGUGUAGCGGUGAAAUGCGUAGAUAUUAAAAAGAAUACCGGUGGCGAAGGCGACUUACUGGGCUCAUUCUGACGCUGAGGAACGAAAGCGUGGGUAGCAAACAGG